GUUUCGUCAAGGGAUAAUUGUUUUAAGAGUGACGAAGUGCUGUACGAGUGCCGACUCACCACCUUUCAGGUGACGAAGUGAAGUGACAUUACACUGAGAGAUUUAAAAGAGAUGUAGAUCACUAGUGUAAAUCAUUAAUGUUACAAACAAAUCAAGAGAAAAGUGUGAAUUUUUAUUGAGAGAAAAACAAGCUAUUCAUGUAGUCUUGAGGAGGCAAACCGAAGCGGAGAACCAUAAAUAUUAAGAUCGAUUACGUGUUUCUAUUAUUGUUGUUAGACUUUUAUUGAAAACCGGUUUACCGUUUCCUGGUCAUGAUGAGUCGGUUAACUCAGAAAAUAGAGGAAUUUACAUUGAAGUGUUAAAAGUCAUUCAGGAGACUAGUGAAGACAUUUUCAACAAUACUUUAGAAAAGGCUCCUAAAAACAAUCAACUUACAAGAGAAUUGUUACAAGAGAAUGACACAGAUUUUUAUGUGCAUUGCUUUGCACACCAACUUCAAUUAGUGUUUGUGGCUGUAGCAAAGAAGCAUGACAGUGUUAGUGACUUUUUUUGAGCAAAUUUUGUUGGUGGUUAAUGUUGUUUAUGUCUCGUGUAAAAGAAAAGACUUACUACGGGAACAAGCAAGAGAAAGGGUGCAAAAAGGCUUGUGUAGUGGUGAAUUUGAAACCGAGAGAGGGUUAAAUCAAGAGACUACACUUGUUCGAGCGGGAGAUACAAUAUGGGGUUCACAUUUCAACACACUCACGAGUUUGAUGAAGUUGUUUGCGAAUGUUCUUGUACUUUUAGAAUUUGUGAAAGUGGAUGGAGGGUCAUUGGCAAACCGUCAACAAGCGUCCGGAAUCUUAGCAUAUUUUAAAUCUUGUGAGUUCGUGUUUACUUAUAAAGGAUGUAUGACCUUUUACGCCUCACGGUUACAUUAUCAAAGCAACUUCAAAAAAAAAGAUCUAGACAUUUUAGAAACGGCUUCGAUGGUUAGAGGGACAAUGGACGCAUUGCAAUCUUUAAGAGACACAGGGUUUGCUAGCAUUUUUCCAAAUGUAUCCCCUUUUUGUCAAACACACAAUAUUGUUACUAAUUAGCAACUAAUGAUUUUAAUUGAAGAUACAUGACAAA